rnacentral:sRNA from 1 species
GAAGACAACAUUUCCAUCGCCAUCUCGCCAUAAUAAUCCAUGGCUUUUCCUCUGGCCCGUUAGCCCUAGCCACAUUACGUUGUUUGGGGAUUGGGAAUUGGGAAUCGGGAGAGAUUCAGAGAUGGGAGAUCACCUGGGGCAUGCCAGAUCGAUGUGACGCCGCCGAGCGCCGGCGGCGAGCGGAGCGGCAGGGGGCGAGGAUUGGCGCUGCGUUCUCCCCUCCCUGAAUUCUUCCGCCCCGUUUCUGGAUUUCUCGGUCGCAAUCCAGGCUGAGGCUCAGCAGCAGAAGCAGCAGCAGUAGUACCCCAUCAUCAUGCAUCCAUGGUGAGAGAUGGAUGGUCACUCACAUGUGAGCAGUAGUGCCGAUCUUGCCGGACUCUGCAGGGCCACCCACUGCCCAACCAUUUCUUGGCUAACUUGCUACGACUACACAUAUAUACCUAGCAAUGACAUGCAUGAAAGCCAAACACAAACUGCUCCAAUAUCUCUAUCUUCUUCUUUAGUUUCUGAAAAUGCACAUUGACAUCAUUUCCUCUUCAAUGGAGUAGAUAAACUAGAUAAGCUAUGUUUGAGGGAUAAAUUUAAGUAUGACACAUAAAUGGGGGCUAUUGCUAAUAAUAUAAUUAUACUCUUUCCAUCC